AUCCCAAUAGCGCAAGGGAUUGCGCGUUGGACUUGUAAUCCAAAAGGCGUGGGUUCGAAUCCCACCUGGAGAUA